GGCAAUCAUCUUGCUGAUUUGCACGCUUUCAAAGCCCAGAUGGAUCCAAGGAUGACUCCUUUUCCGCCUCCGGGAAGCUUGCCAAAUCCAGAGAUGUUAAGGCAACAAAAUCAAACAAAACGGGCGAGGAAAAGACGAUACUUAUGACAACCAUGGACAAUUCUUACUCAACAAGCCGUCAAGGCUUCUCAAGCUAUACUCUCUCCCUCUGUUUAAUGAUUAGAGUAACCAUAUGUAAUGCACGAGAUGUAGCAGGUCGGGCAACUUCUCACAGACUUAAAAACUGCUAUGGUUGCAUUCGAUUUCCUUUUUGGUAAUUGUGGAACCUAUGCUUGACUCUUCUGUUCUUUUUGAUUUUGUGGCAAAAUUUGGAUUUCAUUUGGGCCUUUUUAAUAUAUCAAACAAAAUUUGGGUU
rnacentral:lncRNA from 1 species